AAAAAAAAGAGUUUGAUCCUGGCUCAGAAUCAACGCUGGCGGCGUGCCUAACACAUGCAAGUCGAACGCGGUUUCCCCGCAAGGGGAAACUGAGUGGCGAACGGGUGAGUAACACGUGGGUGACCUGCCUUCGAGUGGGGGAUAACAUUCCGAAAGGGAUGCUAAUACCGCAUGACAUCCUGCCUUUGAAGAGGCGGAGAUCAAAGCCGGGGAUCGUAAGACCUGGCGUUUGAAGAGGGCCCCGCGUCCGAUUAGCUAGUUGGUGGGGUAAUGGCCUACCAAGGCGACGAUCGGUAGCCGGCCUGAGAGGGCGGACGGCCACACUGGGACUGAGACACGGCCCAGACUCCUACGGGAGGCAGCAGUGGGGAAUUGUUCGCAAUGGGCGCAAGCCUGACGACGCAACGCCGCGUGGAGGAUGAAGAUCUUCGGGUCGUAAACUCCUUUCGAUCGGGACGAAUGGCCGGUGACCUAACACGUCAUCGGAGUGACGGUACCGAGAGAAGAAGCCCCGGCUAACUCCGUGCCAGCCGCCGCGGUAAU
rnacentral:rRNA from 1 species